rnacentral:lncRNA from 1 species
CAGGCCCAAUGCCAAACAAAUAAAACCUAAACACCAGUCCAACAAAAACCCUACUAGCCCACAGCCCAAUACAACAUAAAACAUUCAGCAGAAAAAAGAAAAGAAAACCCUAGCUUCCAGCCAAAUCAAGGCGCCGCACGCCUCACCAGCCUCUUCGCUACCACCGCCACCGUCGCCAAUCGUUUGCCCUCCACGCGUGUCAGACUGUUACGAGUUGAAAAAUCAGUAGAAAAGAAUUAUAGAAUCGUAGUUAAAUACGGGGUGUUUUGAGGAGUUUUAAGUUUAAUGAAACGGUGCGUUUUAAUUUCAACAGAAUUGUACACGUCACCUUGUUAGUUUUCCUUUAAAACGGCAUGCAGUACGUGAGUAACGAUAUCAAAUGAAAAGAAUAUUAUUCCAGUAUUCUCUCUCUCUUCCUUGUUCUUCUGUUCUCUCCAUUCAACCUCUCUUUCUUUCUUAGAUUUUCUUUUUAUUCCAGCCAAAUCAAGGCGCCGCACGCCUCACCAGCCUCUUCGCUACCACCGCCACCGUCGCCAAUCGUUUGCCCUCCACGCGUGUCAGACACCUGCAGAGAGCAAUAAACACGCAAGCACAAGAAGACAACAGAAGCAUACAACAGAAAAAAACAAGAAAAUAGAAAAAAAAGUUGUAAAAUGGCUAUAAAAAGCCACAAUGAACAAUAGUUCUGGGCUUCUGGCAAUUUCACGAAUAUUAGAAGCAAUAAAAGGUGUUGAUUUAGAUUUUUUUUUGUCUCUUUGUUUUCCAUUUUAUUUAUUUAUUAUUUUUACAAAUCUAUUUUAAUAAAAAGGUGCAUAGAAUAAAAAGAAAGAGGAGGGCGUACCUGUGGCCGGGCAUAGCACCACCGUCGGAAUCCCCCUCCGCUUGUCGGGGCCGCAGAAACGCAUUAGGAUUUCGCUUGGGCGGCGGCCGAAAUGACAGAGGCCGAAAGGCCCUUCCUUUUUUAUUUUUCCUUCAUUUUUUUGGUUUCAAAAUACCCAAAUCGGGUAUAUAUUUUAGAAAAAAAGGAUUUUUUUUAAAAAAUUGGGUUUGGGGAAUUUUUGGCUUUCCGGUACGGCGACAUUACGGCGGAGGAGCGCCGUGGCCUUCGUCGGACCUAGGCCGGAAAGGGAGAGAGGGGAGAGGGCUGCUGCAGUUUUUUUUCUCGUGUGUGGGGGAGAGAAAUGCAAAAAAAAAAGGUGUUUAAAUCGCAAGAGAAAACGACGCCGUUUCGGCCCUUAGGAUCCGAGCUCGACCCGACCCGCCUAUGGGAUCCGCGCGUUUCUGUUGAAUGGGAAAUUUUCGCCCUUGGUCCCUCCAUAUUAUUGUGUUGUUUUAAUUUAAUCCUUCUGC